rnacentral:rRNA from 1 species
AUCAGAGCCAUAUCACCCUGCAGUUCCUGCCUGGUUUCUCACAGAAGCAAAGCAGGCUUGAGCCUGGCCAGUACCUGGAUGGGAGGUGUCCUGGGGAAAACCAAGGUUGCUGCUGGAU